CUGAGCACAUGCAAAAAGGGGUAUUCCCUCCUGCGUGUUUCUAAGAGAUAGAGAAAUGAAAAAUAUGAAAGCUGAUGUUACGACUGAGAGGCAGAGGAGCCCCAGGAGUGCGUGCUGCCUUCAAAAUCACUACUGUUCUGAAAGCAAACAAAGUUUUAAGAAACCAGGAUCUGAGGUUUCAUUCCUCAGUCUGAGCAGUGACUCACCCACAUUCCUGACUGCUCCAACAAGAGGCGAGCCCUGCUCCUGGCAGACCUGAUCCUCUGCAUUGCAUUGUGCCAAGCAAAGUCCAGCAGCGGCAGCACAUCGGAGCUGGUGCAGAACGGGGCCAAACCAGUGUUGGCCAAACUCCUACCAAGGUCGUCUAAGAACGCUCAGAGGCAGCAGCUGAAGUUUUUCACAAUUCAAGGGCAGCAGAGACAAGUACAAAACUAACUGAGCAGAGGGAGCCGGGCAGCACACAGGAACCUGUUUGCUGUGCUGGUAGCUGCAGCUGCAGACCUGGGGAGGAUGUCUGGGAGAUGCAGAAAGUGGACAUUUUGCAAAAUCACAUGAGAGAGUACCCAGCUCAGCUCGCCUCAGUCCUGCUGUCUUGCUUCCCCAUGGAAACGCCGUGCUGCACCAUCUGCCAGUGCCUCCCUGCAGCGCUUUGAGCUCUGACCCCGGCCCCAUCUGAAAGAGAAUAAACAAAUAAUGAAGAAUGUUCUGGAUGCUUCACCACAUGGAUACCAACAGACCAUAAUCCCUCCUGUUCUGAGACAAAGAUCAGAAGAGAAAAAAGGAACUUCUGCUUGUCUGGCUGUGCUUUUUGCCUAACACCUAUCACAACUUGUGCAAAUCCUCUCUUACAUACCUAUGUAUACAGAGAUUGAGGUCACAGCUGUAAUCCAACCAAAACCAACACAGCGUGCAAAAAGGAAACACGUCUUUGCCACACACUUUGUCCACUGCAGUAAACUGGAAAGUAAUUCCGCCUUAUGAGUUAAGACAAAACAGUAACUGGGAAUUCAAGUGCAAGGGCUGCUAAUCUGCCCUACUCGCUCAGCGUGUUAUCAGCCAGGAGAAUUAAACUACAUCUGAUAUUCAAAUGGACAGAAUGAAAUGAAGCGCAAAAUCGGCGAGCAAAUGGAACUCGGCUCCUCCAGCUCCGCUCACCCACCGCAGUGCGUGCACUCCCGCACCGGGAACCGCUCCGGCCCCGCUGGAAACGAGCGGCUGCCACCUGCCGGCUGCACAGCCCCGGGCCCUCUGCCCUGCUGCAAAACCCGGAAUAGCUGGGGAAUAAAAAAAGGAUUAAAUUAACAAACAGAAGCUAGGAAUGCAGUAAAAAGUCGCCGAGAAAUAAAUGAUG
ensembl:lncRNA